ensembl:ncRNA C27C12.8 ncRNA
UGAUGUGCGAGAAACAAAAAGGAAGAGUACACGGUGCGUAACAAAACCGCAUUGUUUAUCCGCUACCAUUUGAAGUAGUGAAGUGGAGGGAGAAGGAUGGUGUAGAUGUCAAUCGGACCGCUGAGAACACAUAAAGGG